rnacentral:rRNA from 1 species
CCUACGGGAGGCUGCAGUAGGGAAUUUUCGUCAAUGGGCGCAAGCCUGAACGAGCAAUGCCGCGUGAACGAGGAAGGUCUUCGGAUCGUAAAGUUCUGUUGAAGGGGAAAAAGAGCGGAGAGAGGAAAUGCUUUCUGAUUGAUAUUACCCUUCGAGGAAGUCACGGCUAACUACGUGCCAGCAGCCGCGGUAAUACGUAGGUGGCGAGCGUUAUCCGGAAUGGUUGGGCGUAAAGGGUGCGUAGGCGGCGUGCUAAGUCUGGAGUGAAAGGGACGGGCUCAACAGGUCCAGGCUUUGGAUACUGGCGGGCUAGAGAGCAGGAGAGGGCGGUGGAAUUCCAUGUGUAGCGGUAAAAUGCGUAGAUAUAUGGAAGAACACCAGUGGCGAAGGCGGCCGCCUGGCCUGUUACUGACGCUGAGGCACGAAAGCGUGGGGAGCAAAUAGGAUUAGAUACCCGAGUAGUC